rnacentral:rRNA from 1 species
CAAUAGCGUAUAUUAAAGUUGUUGCGGUAAAAAAGCUCGUAGUUGGAUUUCUGUUGAGGACGACCGGUCCAUACCACGUAUGCGCAUCUGGCUCGGCCUCGGCAUCCUCUCGAAAUACGUUUCUGCGCUUGAUUGCGUGGAGCGGAGUUCGGGACUUUUACUUUGAGGAAAUUAGAGUGUUCACGGCAGGCUAUCGCCCGAAUACGUUAGCAUGGAAUAAUAAUAUAGGAUCUCGGUUCUAUUUUGUUGGUUUCUAGAAUUGGGAUAAUGAUUAAUAGGGACAAUUGGGGGCAUUCGUAUCAACACGUCAGAGGUGGAAUUCUUGGAUUGUGUUGCGACGAACUACUGCGAAAGCAUUUGCCAAGGAUGUUUUCAUUGAUCAAGAACGAAAGUAAGGGGAUCGAAGACGAUCAGAUACCGU